UUGCUUCAGCCACACAUGUACUAAAAUUGGAACAAAAAAGAGGAGAUUAGCAUGGCCCCUGUGCAAGGAUGAUGUGAAAAUUUGUGAAGCGUUUCAUAUUAAA
rnacentral:snRNA from 1 species